AAACAUGUCCUCUUGAAUUUAAUUUGAGGUCUAGCCUGCCCCACUGAAAUUAUUUAAAUGGCCGCAGUAAUUUGACUGUGCAAAGGUAGCAUAAUCAUUAGUUUUUUAAUUAAAAGCUUGUAUGAAUGGUUGGACAAAGUAAAAUCUGUCUCUAUUUAAUUUAUAAUAGAAUUUAAUUUUUAAGUUAAAAAGCUUAAAUUUUUAUAAAAGACGAGAAGACCCUAUAGAUCUUUAUUUAGAUUUAUAUAAUUUUAAUUUAGAAUUUUUUAUUAAUUAUAUUUUUUUAAAUUUUAUUGGGGUAAUAAAAAGAUUAAAAAAAUUCUUUUUUUAAUAUACAUUGAUUUAUGAAUAAAUGAUCCAAUAUUUUUGAUUAAAAGAUUAAGUUACCUUAGGGAUAACAGCGUAAUUUUUUUAGAGAGUUCAUAUCGAUAAAAAAGUUUGCGACCUCGAUGUUGGAUUAAAAAUUAUCUUAGGUGCAGAAGUUUAAGAUUUUGGUCUGUUCGACCAUUGAAUUUUUACAUGAUCUGAGUUCAGACCGGCGUAAGCCAGGUCGGUUUCUAUCUUUAUUUAAAUAAAAUAUUUUAGUACGAAAGGACCAAAUAUUUAAUAAAAUUUUAUUUUAAUUUUUGAAUAUUA
rnacentral:rRNA from 1 species